AUGCACGCUGGCGGCGUGCCUAAUACAUGCAAGUCGGGCGAACAGACGAGGAGCUUGCUCCUCUGACGUUAGCGGCGGACGGGUGAGUAACACGUGGAUAACCUACCUAUAAGACUGGGAUAACUUCGGGAAACCGGAGCUAAUACCGGAUAAUAUAUUGAACCGCAUGGUUCAAUAGUGAAAGACGGUUUUGCUGUCACUUAUAGAUGGAUCCGCGCCGUAUUAGCUAGUUGGUAAGGUAACGGCUUACCAAGGCAACGAUGCGUAGCCGACCUGAGAGGGUGAUCGGCCACACUGGAACUGAGACACGGUCCAGACUCCUACGGGAGGCAGCAGUAGGGAAUCUUCCGCAAUGGGCGAAAGCCUGACGGAGCAACGCCGCGUGAGUGAUGAAGGUCUUCGGAUCGUAAAACUCUGUUAUUAGGGAAGAACAAAUGUGUAAGUAACUAUGCACGUCUUGACGGUACCUAAUCAGAAAGCCACGGCUAACUACGUG
rnacentral:rRNA from 1 species